AAGGGCGCUGGGCCGCCUCCCUCGGGGAAGCCCGGCGCCACCCUGCACGCAGCCCGCAGCCCGUCUGCCGCCCUGGCUUCUUCCCUGAAGUUGCUGCGAUUUCGCAACCCUCUGGGUUUGGAGAGAAACCGCCUCGGCUGUGCGAGGCCCGGGUGGUGCUUUCCCAGCAGGCACCUGUGGGACACCUGCUCUGCUGGGGGAGUGAGUGAGCGAUCGUUUCUGCGCUCCCGGAGCGCCUACCACGCAGGUGUGGCCCAGGAAACGCGUGAGACCAAGACAACGUGCCUUGAGUUGGAUGCAGCUGCGCGCUGUGGAAAAUAGGGAGGCAGGAGCCUGAGAACGAAGCCCCAUUGGCAGAGCAGGAAGAAGGCAGGAACCUGGUCUCCCGAAGACAUGGUUGAUGCCUGAAUCCCCGGAUCCUGGGGCUCAUCGCUUACUGUUCAACCUGGUCGGAGUUUGGUUUGUUGACCUCGGAGGCAGCUUAACGUAGGGACGGAAAAUACUUUCCAGAAUUUCUUCCUCACACCCUUCUCUGCCCCAGAACUUCCCUUCUGUCUUAUUGGCCAGCCCGGUGCCACACUGGCAAAUGUGGCUCAGCAAGUCUGGAAAAGCUUACGCUUAGUGACCCUCGGGAGAGAACUUUGGCUGAACCUGCUGAACUGGAGGAAAAGAAUUAGGAGCAUCUGGGGUUUCUUGACUGGAAAAAUUCUGUGGUCUGAGAGAUGACCAUUUCCCACCCAGCCGUCAUCAGAGAAAUGAAACUCACUUUCAGUCAGCUCAGCCGCUGUUUCUGGCCGUUCACCCCAUGUGGCCAAAUAAUAUGCUUUUGUGUUGACUCUUCAGAUUUAAUAUAAGAUCUUGACUUCCUCCUCAGAAAGGUGGUCCUGGUGUCUCCGAUCCUGCACUGCUGUCAGUGGUCCGGUGGGGCCAACCUGUGAGCUCUCUGCCUCCUCUCCUACCAUGUGCCUCGUCUCUGCAUCACCCGGCCCGACACCUGCUUUCCACUUUCCAAUAUUUUCUUUAUAUCUCUGCACUGUCAUUGCUCUUUUACCUCGAGGUUCUGUUUUGUUUUAUUUACUUGUUUUGCCUGUGACAACAUCUCUCUAGUGAAGUGAGUUUGGGGAAAGGAAAGGAGACGUGCGAGAGUCCUUCCGCCAUGUUUGCUUGGAUGCUCUCUCCAUCUUUCUCCAGUGGAAUAAAAGUACUUGAAUCAGAUUUGAUGGGAAUUCCAUCCAUUUUGAGAACGCUGCUGAAUCUUAGUUUCUAGGCCCAGUUCAUCACCCUAAUGAGCUGUGUCUGUCAUGCAUACAGUGAACAAUUAUAUUUGCGAAUUCUUUACAUGAAUUAAUGAAGCAGGUGUUCACUGGUGAACUCUGUAGACUCACAGAAGGAGAACACAUCAAGCUCAGUGACCUCAGGAGCAGCGGCUCCCUCUCUGGUUGCAAAUCAGGAUCACUGAAGGAGCGGCCAGAAUUACAGAUGUCUGAGGAUCAUCUCAGGAACUGGAUCCUGGGAUUAAUGCAUGUUUUCCAAGUAACUACCCAUUAUCUAGUCUUCUAGUUCCACAAGAGAAACAAACCUCUAGCUUCAAAGGCAGUGUUAGUCGUAUUUUUGUUGCUCACAGCUAAAGACAUCCCCAGUGGAUCUGUGAGGUUGAGUCCAAGGCACCAAAAUAUCCACUGGGAAGCCCACACAGCUCAGGGCAAAGCUCCAGAAAAAAGCAGCCAGCUGGGGGCCUCCUGGUGGUGUUCAUGAUCACGAUGGGGGAGGUGUUGGUCAUUCCUCUCAUCUCCUAGGUGAUCUGUGGUUCUUGCUCUCUUCGUCCUUGUGCCCCAAACCUUAUUUUUUUGCUUUUCAAAUCACAAAGAUUGGCAUCAGUUAUUUUUGGCUUUCUUCAGUCCCUCUCUAUGCAGUGUUCUCUUUCACGAGGCCACUUGGUCAUUGCAUAAGAAAGUGGGCAAAAUAAAUACAGAUAACAAAUAUCUCCUACGUUUAUUAACAACAGUGUUCUCGUUGUUGCUCCCCUGCCCCAGCCCUACCUUCAGCAAGAGAGCUGCUGGGUUUACGCUCUGAAAGCUGAAGACAGAUUUUAGGGAUCCCCACGGAAUGGCAGAACAGGGAGCUCGGGGAGAGGAGUGGCUGGAUUCUAAGGGCACCUCCAGAGGACUAAGGAAGGGCACAUAUGGGGAUUUCUUCCUGGGGGCAGGGGUCGAUCCAGUGCUAAAUGCCCAAGUCCGGGAAGCAAGGAGAGAGAGGAUAGCCCAAGGGCUGGAGCAGGAGGACAGGGGAGUAAGCUCUGGGAUGGUUCUGAGCUGUUCUUUUUAUUUAAGAGGGUUAGAGGUAGAAAUGACUGCAGUGCCGGGCCCUGAGACUGCUCACCCUCAGGGUGCUUCCCAUCCGACUCGGUUAUUUCUGGACCGUGAGUCGCACAUUCCCUGUAAAAGCUGUUUCUGAGACUCCUCUCUGUGUUCCUGCCCUCGGUUGCCCCUCAUGUAUCCCCUCACCUCCACCUUCUGCACAGGACGUCCUCCUCGGGAGUCCCACAGGGUCCUGUGAGCAUCUUUCUCUUUGGGCUUAUUCCCAACUAGCAUUCUGCCUAUCGUCCCAUCGCUGGUACUGAGCUGAACCUCUCGGGAGAGGGAAAGCAGCUUGGAUCUCUGAAUCCACAUCUAGAGAGACCUCCUGAACAUCUGCUGAAGGAACGAAUGCAUGAAUUGUCUAGCACUCAUUAGGUCCUCUUAGCACAUAUAACAACCUUCCCCGUGAGUGGCCAGUGGAGGCCGUGCUGGUUGCUCACUGAGCAGCUCCCCAGGAGAGAAACAUCUGCUGAGGCCGAAGACAUUCUCCCUAUUUUCUGAACGUUGUUCUGUGUUUACUUUCUAUACAAGUCCCUGUUACCUUCCUUCUCCCUUUCCUCAUGUUUCUGUGACUGGCCAACUCUUCUCCUGGGUGACACGUUGUCUCUAGAGGUUUGACGCAUUCAAGUUUUCUUGGCUUGGGAACCACUGAUCUUUUCAGGGUGCAUUCAAGGCGACUGUGGUACAGUUCUGAUUCGGUAUGUGUUAUUUUUACGGGUUGGCAGUGGGCCUGGGGGAGGUGAUUUUGUGUGCACCGGAGCAGGUUUUCAGCUUCUCAUACUACAAACCCAUGUAUUCCUUCACUACCCGUAUAGAGGCCAGUCUUACAAAGUGGAAGUGAAAGCCUGAGUUACUUGGGAGCUUAACAAUGGAACAGUUGAAACCACCAUUUGUUGUUACUUUGCCAAUCUCUUCUCCCUUUCCAACUUCCUGAGCAGUAAUACUGCAACCCCAGACUCUGCAUCAGCUCUCUGCAUCAAUGCUAGGUAAAGUCAAUCCACUUUUCCUGAAUUCAGUGGACUGAAAUAAGCAGGUAAAGCCAUGCUUUGCACCUAGUAAGGGAAUGACUGAAUGCCAGCUGUAACAAAAGCAAUGCUGUGUUCCUUGACAUUAACGCUUACAAGCACCAGGAAAAGCUAUUUGUGUCUUUGUCUUGUUUGUCCUCUAUUAUCCACUGGUUAUUAUCACCCUCUUUCUCAAGGGGAGGUAUUGCAUCUGUUCCUUGGAUUCAGGCGGAGUAUGGUUUUUGUUUUUUUUGGUACCGGGGAUCAAACUCGGGUCCUUGUGCUUGCAAGGCAG